CAAAGGCCAUAAAAGAGACUUUUAUGGAGAAAUCGAGAAGCAACAUUUUGUUGACACAUGGAUUCCAUGAAUGUGUUGAAAGCAGAGAAAUGGGCUCCGUGACUUGUCCGGUGCAGUGCUACGCUUAUCUUUGAGUAAUCUGGUUUGAUGACCUUUGUCCGUGCACAGCUCCUGCCUCCAGGGGAGUUUCUGAGUAAGCAACUCCGCUUAGACCUCUUAAAUUUCCACAUAUACUCAUGCACACGGCGGAGUAUGUGCAUAGUGUGUACUGCAGACGGACAACUUACCCAACACUUGGAUAAAGGAGCCACUUGUGACUGUAUUUUCCCCUCAGAAACUCUAACAUGAAUGGAAUUGUUAUUUUGGGCAGACUAUCAUUGCAAUCGCACCCCAUUUAUCUAUGAAGGUGCUACUUUGCAGAUACCCUGUGGAUUCAAUUGAUACUUCCGAACCGCUGUAGGAACUCAAUCACCAUUCACAUCACUAUUUCUCUCAAAAAAUGAAUUCCAAGUUGGAUUUUGGAUUGCAGACAGAUUUCCAUCCUAAUAUACCUCUUAGAGGAAUUCUUGCUCAAUGGGUGAAGCCAAUAGCCUGAAGUCAAUUGUCCCCUGAAGUUGCUCUUCUUGAAGCAAGCUGGUGAUUUGAUCUCUGUGAAAGAGAAUUCUCCUGUUUUCCAUCUUAAUAACAGCCAUUCAUAGGACUGAGGAAUUUGUACCAGAAUGACAAUUAUUAUUGAGCACUACUGUGCAUUAGAUAUUGUAACUCACCAUACGUAGAUUAUCUUACAUAGCAACCUUGGGAUAUUGAUAGUACUAUCACAAUUUUUUUUAAAAAAUAAAUUAUUUGAAAGGCAAAGUUACAGAGAGAAGGAAGGAGGGAGGAAAGGAGAGAGAGAGAGAGAGAGAGAGAGAGAAUCUUGUAUCUGCUCAUUCACUCCUAAAAAAGGCUACAAUGGGCAGCAUGGGGCCAGGCUGAAGCCAGAAGCCAGAAACUCCAUCCAGAUCUCCCACAUGGGUAUCAGGGGCCCAAGCAUCUACCACUGCAUUCCCAGGCUCAUUAUCAUGGAGAUGGUUUGGAAGUACACUAGCCAGGACGUGAACCCUGCAUCACCACAGUGCGGGUCCUAGAAGCUCCCUUCUUGGAAUGUGUUGUAUGAGGAUGUGAGUUCUGAAACGAGGGCCAUGUUUUCUUCCUUAUGAGUGAGAGCAUGGUUGUGUUGGGGUAACUGCUGUGUACAUCCUUAGUUUAAAACAAUUGAGGUAGGAGAUGGAGGGGUUGUAAGUGCAUGACAGUCUGUGGACUCCUGGGUCAAGCCUUACAUGAAGUUAAAGCCGUUUCUAGACUCGGUUGCAAGCAUAGUUAUAUUUCCAUGGGGUUUGUGGCAUUUCACAGAGAAUCAAAGAAGCGCACUCUCCAGGGAAUGUACUGUCAUUAAGAAUUCUUACGUCUUCCAAACUUCUGGUGUGAGAAGAAGGAGGGGGGAAAAGAGCAGACCAACUGCUGCUGAAAUAUCCAGAUUUUUAACAUUUUGGAAAAUCGCGUAACUAUAUGAACCGCUUGCUGGGGUCCUCUCAGAGCCACGGAAGGGCCCGGAAAAGUGAGGGAUCCUAAAAGGUCAUGUAUCCACCUUUCAUCACUCAACCAUUGACAUGAAGACAGCAGAGUUCUAACAGCUGCAUGGAUUUCAGGCAGAGUGGAUAGCAAGAGAGAGAGACAGAGAGAAAGGUCUUCCUUCGCCGUUGGUUCACCCUCCAAUGCCCGCCAGCGCUGGCGUGCUGCGGCCGACACACUGCGCUGAUCCGAAGGCAGGAGCCAGGUGCUUCUCCUGGUCUCCCAUGGGGUGCAGGGCCCAAGGACUUGGGCCAUCCUCCACUGCACUCCCUGGCCACAGCAGAGAGCUGGCCUGGAAGAGGGGCAACCGGGACAGAAUCUGGCGCCCCGACCGGGACUAGAACCCGGUGUGCCAGCGCUGCUAGGUGGAAGGUUAGCCUAUUAAGCUGCGGCGCCGGCCAAAAUAAAAGUUUUCUAAAAAUAAAAGUGUGCUAACAAAUUUCCCUUUCCCCUCCAUCAUCCCCUGGAAGCCACAAAUCUAUUUUCUUCUGUGAGCUCUUCAGUGGGUGUAAAGUUAUAUGAGAUGGAUACGUUUUAGAGAUCUGCCAUACAACAUAAUGCCUAUAAUUAACAAUAUGGUAUUGUGUACUCAAAAUUUUGUUAAAAGGGCAGAUCUUAAGUAUCCUUCACACACACACACACACACACACACACACACGGCCCAUAAAAACAACCAUUCGUAUUAUUGCUUGCAACAAUGGAUCAUAUGUUUUUACUGCUAGGUAAUAUUUCACUGUGUGGUUAUGACUGUUUUAUCUAUUUUUCUUUUUAAGAUUCAUUUAUUUAUGUGAGAGGAAGAACCACAGAGAAACAGAAUAAGAGAGGAAGACAGAGACAGAGUUUUCCAUUCACUGGUUCACUCCCCAAAUGGCUGCCAGCAGCCAAGUCUGGCUCAGGCCAAAGCCAGGAGCCUGGAACUCCAUCAGGAACUCCCACAUGGGUGGCAGAGGCCCAAGUACCUGUGCCAUUGUCUGCUGCCUUUUCAGUUGCAUUAGCAGGACACUGAAUCAGAAGCAGAGCAGCUGGGACUUGAACUUGCACACUGUCAUGGCUGACAUGGGUUGUUGGCAUUUUAAGUGGUGGCUUAACCCCCUGAGCCACAAUGCCAGCUGUUAUCCAUUUUUCAGUUCUGAACAUCUGUGCUCUUUACAGUUUCAGGCUACUACAGACAAAUUUACUAUGAGCUUUUGUUUGUAACUCUUCGUGUUGACAUAUACUUAAUUUUCUUGGAGAAAUACCUGGAUUACAUAUGUAUAUAUCUUUCACUUUUUAAGAAGUUGCCAAAUGGUUUUCAUAGUAGUUGAAACAUUUUUCAUUUUCACAAGCAGUAUAUGAGUUUCAGUACCUCCAAAUCCUUGAUGCAAAGUAAUUUUUUUAAAAGAAAAAUUAGCCAUUUUUAUAAGUCUGUAAUGUAUCUUAGUGUGGUUUUCAUUGAAUGCUGUUGAAGGUCUUUCCCUAUGCUUUUUGGACAUCUAUUUAUCUGCUUUCGCAAUGUGAGGGUGAAAUCUUUCUCUCAUUGUUUGUUUUUUUUUUAUUAAGUUUUAAGGGUUUAAAAGUAUAUGCAUAUAUGGGAUAUAGCUAUCUUAUCAGACAUGUGAUUCAUAGAUGUCUUCGCUCAAUCUGUGACUCGUCUUUUAAUUUUGCUAACAGUGUAUUAUAAAAAGCAAAAGCUUUAGAAAAAUUUGAUGAUAUCCAAUUUAUCAAUAUUUUCCUUUACAGAUUGUGUCUUGGGCAUCGUCUCUGAGAAGCAUUUACCUAGUCAAAGCUGCAAAAGUUUUCUCUGAGAAGUUUCACAGGUUUAAGUUUUACAUUUAGGUCACUGAUCCAUGUUGAGUUAAUUUUAUGGUGCAAGAUGUGGAUCAAAGUUUAUUUUUUUCUUGCAUAUGUGUACAUCCAAUUAUUCUAGCACCAUUUGUUGAAAAGACUAAUCUUUCUCUACUGAAUUGCCUUUGAAAUUUUGUCAAGAUCAUUUGCCUGUAUAUGUGUGGGUCUAUUUCUAGACUCUCUUCUGUUCCAUGCGUCUAUUUGUCUAUCUUUACACCACUACCAAACUGUCUUGAUUAUUGUAGCUUCAUAAUAAGUGUUAGUUCUCUAAAUUUGUUCAUCUUUUUUUUUAAGUUUUUUUGGCUAUUCUAGGUCUUUUGAAUUUUUAUAUCAAUUUUAGAGUCAGCCAGUUAAUUUCUGCAGAAAAGCGUGCUAGGGUUUUAAUUGGGAUUAUUUUAAUUCUAUGGAUCAGUUUGGGGAGGACGGAUUUCUUAGCACUAUCGAGUUUUCUGACAAAUGAACACAGUAUAUCCAGCAUUAUUUAGGACUUCUUUAAUAAUUUCAAUAAUGUUUUAUAAUUUUCAGUGCAUGGGUUUUUCACAUUUUUUGUCAGACACAGCCCUAAAUAUUUCCAAUUUUUGAUGUCAUUUUUAAUGGAUCCUAAAAUUAUAAUUUUAAUGCAUUCUAAAGAUUAUAAUUUCUGAUAGUCCAUUGCUAAUAUAUAGAAAUACAAUAGAUUUUUGUACAUUUAUCUUUUAUCUUGAAGCAUUGCCUCAACUCACUAAAUAUUUCUAAUAACUAAAAAAUGUAUUCCAAUGGAUUUUGUACCUGAUCAAUUUUGUCAUUUGUGAACAGGGACAAUUUUAUUCCUUCCUUUCCAGUCUGGAUGCAUUUUAUUUCUUUUGCAUGGACUAGAAACUCCAAUGCCAUGUUGAAGGAAUGUAAUGAAGGUGGACAUCCUGCUUUGUUCUUGAUCUUAGUUAAGGCUGUAUUUAAAGGUUUUUAGUUGAAUUUUUGUAGAUGCGCUUUAUUGAGUUGAGAAAGUUCUUUUCUUUUUCUGGUCUUCUGAGAGUAUUUUGUUUUUUCAUCAGGAAUUCAUAUUGAUAUUUCAAAUGUUUUCUCUGCAACUCCUGAGAUGGUCAUAUAGUUUUCUUUAUUUCUUUUGUUUGAUUCUUUGUUAUGGUGAUGGUGUAUGUUGAUUAAAUUUGUACUGUUAAACCAACUUUCCACCCUUGGUUAUGACAUAUUAUCUUUUUACCUAGUGUUAUAUUUGAUUUAGUCAAAUUUUAUUAAAAAUUUUUUCAUCUACGAUCAUAAAAGAUGAUUUUCUGCAGAUUUUUUUUUUAGUAAUAUCUUCAGAUGUUUUUGAUAUCAAGGUAAUUCUGGGUGAAUUAUUUGGAAUGAGGUGGAAAAUAUUUCCUCAUUUUCAAAUAGCUAGAAAUGUUUAUGUAGAAUUGGUAUUAUUUCUUCCUUAAAUGUUUGAUAAAAUUGUCCAGCGAAGUAAUGUGGGCCUCAGCAUUUCUUUGUGGAAAAUGUGAUACCUAUUUAUUCAAUGUCAUUAAAAGAUGAAGGGCUAUUAUGUUGUUUAGUUUUUUCUUGAGUGAGAUUUGGUAGUUUAUGUCUUCCGAGGGAUUUGUCGACUGCUUCUGAGGUGUAAAGUUUAUUGGCAUAAAACUGUUUAUAAUAGCUCCUCAGUUUUAUUUUGA